rnacentral:lncRNA from 1 species
GCGGACACUAGAGUGAAUCUGCUGAGAAGAGAAGAUUGGCCUCAGACACUUCCGUCUUCAGACCUGUGCCUCUCCUUUGAGGAUCCCUUCCCCGAAGCUGCCAAGGAGAACCUUCCCUCACAUUGUUCCUCCUUUGUUCCCCGCUCUCCUUUUCCAGGCUGAGAGACCUGGGGCCUUGGAAGCAAGCACACGCUGGCUGAGCUGUGAUUCCUCCAUGUUGAUUAUAAUUUUUAUCACAUUAUAUGGGAUCCCUCUGGUGGUUACUAGGGGAUACGUCAGUUUUGAGAGAUUGGAACCUAACCAAAGAAGCUUCAAAUCUAGAGGAUAAGGGGACUCAGAGUUUACAAGUCACAGCAAGCAGAUGCUGGUCUGCUUUAGGUGCCUCUUACGGGGAUUGUGAGAGGGCUCCUGGGGCCUGAGGAGGGUCUUCUGAGGUGUGAAAGGCUGUACUGGUGGUCCCUGAAAGCCAUCGUCAUUUGUGUGAGGAGGAGUACUGGAGGAGCUGUCUUACCACAUGAAAAACAGCAUGGAGCAUCCCAGCCACAUCAAAGGCACGGUUUGAGCCUUGGGCUGUAGAGGCUCAGAGAGAGUGACAAAUAAGACCCUGGUGAGAGACCAAUGGGGACAGUAUUUCCAGACUUUGGCAUGAAACAGAUUUCUGAGCACCUCAUGAAAUGUCUGCAAGGGCAGCUCCUCAGAGUGACCCUCCCAAAUCAAUCAAAGCUGGCCCCCUAUCUUAAUUAUGACUUACAAAUAGAAGCAUGCACCUGGCUGGAUGCAGUUUGCCACAUGGUUUACAAUAGCGGUAGAAUAAGAAAUAACUUACCAAACGAGUACAUUUUCUUGGCUGGCUGGGGCACUCAGAGUUGACACUGGAGUAUUUAGCCUGGAUGAAACUUGAUACUUCAAAAAGAAUCACUUGCUAAAGGGAGAAGUGAGCCCCACCUUCUGUUAGGAAGAUGUGUUUGUUUAUUGGCUGCUUCAAGAACAUAAGCUCCUCUCACCAUCUACUCACUGUAUUCUAAGUGUGAGGCAUAUGGUGGGUAUUUGGCUUGGUGUGUUAAUCAAACUGUCAGCAAAGGAAAAAAAAAAGAAGAAGAAGAAAGGGCACAUUCUAUCCAAAUGAAGAAAAAUCUGAGCUUUCUACAACAAACACAUUUUCCAGUGGAUGAGCUUCUCACACAGUAAUUAUUUCACUUCUCCCAGAGAUUACUGAUUACAUCACACAGAAAAACUAAAUGAGGGCUGUUUUAUCUUUCUCAUCUCUCUGUGGUUCUUGUGCAAACUUAUACUUGUUAUCAUGAAAAAUGACAAAUUUGCCAUCUGAUCAAAAUGUUAACAAGGUAACUGUCAGUGAGAUGGAUCUCUGACUGUCACUGCAAGCCAGAACAUGAGGAUACAUUGAUAUUUCUCAAUACAGCCCCUGCUUCCCCAACGUUCACUAACUACAUUUCCACAGUAAGGUAAUAAAUCACUCAGAAAUAACGAGCUAUAUAGGAUCUCUGGGGUAUGAUAGAUGUGUCCUAACAGCACUAUCUGCAAGAUAGAAAACAAUUGAUAAUGAUCUAAAGAAAACCCUAAUCAACUGCCAUUUUCCAUAAUGGGGUAGAUGAAGCAAAGAUAUGAAAUCUUAACUAUGUGAUGCAUGUUAUGACAAAACCGGACUGCUCCAAAAAAAACCCACACAGCCCCAAACAAAACACAAAUGACCUAACAUUACGUAGGGUCGAAUAAAUGAAAAAUAAAGUUAAUAACACAGUCUGGAUACAAACAUUAUAUUGGACACUGGCAAUGAUGGGAUAAUCACAGCAAUUGCUGGGUCCACAAACAGCUAAAUAGUGGAGGGUUCCUCAUAUAACAUGAAUGAAGACUCUGGCUCAGUUAUUGGUUUAAUGAACUCUCCUCCAAUACUUUUAUGUUCUUUAAGACUCUUUGGGCCACAUUAUUUCUGAGCCUUUAAUUCAAUGGUUUAACCAAUCAUUUCCCCCACCCCCCCCCCCCCGCCCCUUAGCAACGUGGCCAAGUGCCACAUCCAAAGGAACCAAGAGAGAAGAGGAGAAGUCCAUAUGGAAAUAGGAGGUAAUCAAAGACAGAACACAAGAUAGAAAACUUCUGCAAGAAGAUCAUGGCUUCAGAUCACAGGGACAAAGAAGCAUGGCAUCAAACUGCCAAGAAGCUGCCUCAUAACGACAUCCCUUUAGGUUUUAAGGUUAAGAAGUCUCACAUAGCCACAGUUGGUCUCCUGCCUGUCCCCUCUGCUCGUUUGUCUUUGGCCAUUCCUGCUUCUGCUGUUUGUAGAAUACUCCAAGCGCCUUCCCUCCCCAAGACCUUGUGCCUGCUCUUCUCUCUCUCUCAGGGAUCUCUCUCCUCCCUGGCUCCUUCCCUUCAUCCAGCUUAAAUCUUCCCCAAGGAACCUGCCUUGCCCUUCGGUUUCAAAGUAGCCUCUACUACCACCCCUUUGGUCUCUAUCAGCUUCAUCGAUAGCAGAAAGAACCAUGUCUGUCUGGACCACUGUAAUUUCCAGGCUUCUAGCACUUUCUCUUCUCUAGUAGGGAUUAAGCACAGUCCCAAUCCUGGGCUCUGGGAUACAGGACUGACUAGCCUUGAAUCUAGUGCCACAACUAAGUACCUGUGUCCCACUGUGCAAGCACUCAAUUUCUAUGUGCCUCAGGUCCCUCAUUUGUAAAACAGAGAGAAUAGCAAUGCCUAUAAAUGACAGCGUUUUGAAGACUAAAUCACUUUAUCAAUGUAAAGAGCCUGAGAUAGUAUCAGGCAUACAGGAAUCCAUCAAUCAGCUGCUGUUUUUAUAAGAGCAAGAACAGAGGUAAUUCAGACAUAAAGUGAAUUAAUUCAUGAUUAUAGACGUUAGAUCAAUGAGUCACCUUCAUCAUUCCAGGUUUUUAUUUUACCAUUAGCCAAAACAGUAUUGUGCUCCUUCUAAUUCCAUAUUCUCAGACUACAUGGAAUGAAUGGGUAUUGGUCUUUAAGCCUCUUUGAGCAAUGCCAAUAAAUACAGUCACUUCCAAUUUGAGGGCACUUGGAAUAGCAGUGCUAUUGUUCCUUUGACAUCUCAACAGCACUUGAAAGUGAAAGAAAAAAAAAUAGAUUAAUGGAUGUAUUCCCUAAAGCAACAAACAUGUUUGAUGUAUAAACAUAUGUUAUGGGCAAUGACGCUGUACCUUUGGUGCCACGUCUCAACAAUUCUCUUUUCAUCUAUCCCCUAAUCAUGCAACUGAAUGCUUCCAGUAGGCCACACAGUAGGGACAAAAUGAUAGUAAGACCACCUGGCUAUAGAUACCUGCUUCUAGAGAGGCCAGGUUCCAACCCAUUACAAGCUGAUAACCAUAUGUAUGAUUUUUGCUACACUGGCCAAGUAUUUGGAUCUUUUUUAAACAUAUUUGAUUAUUUACCCUUUGAUUAGAAUUUGUGAAUAAAAAUGUCUUUUAAGAGACACAAAGGAAGGGGGUACGGGCAAUAGCUCAUUACUAAAAAUCAUUUUAGUGUGGAAAGUGGGCUUCACUAUUCCUAUAAGGCAGUCAUUUUCAAACUUCAGAGCAUCACAAGCCCCCUGUUAGAUUCUAAUAGAACCCUGAGGAAAAUGCACAUACACAUAAAUGUUCACAUAUAAUUUCUACAGGUUGAAGGACCUCCCAAAACAAAACAAAUCUAUCAACCACAAACUCCAGUGUAAAAAACUGGCUCUAUGAAGACUUCAAAUCACCCUCACUUCCUUUGCAUAUAACCAUUUUUUUCUUCAGACAAAUAAAAAAUACAAUUAAGUUUAAUACAAGAAGAGGCUAAAAACAUUAGGAUAGAAUAUUAGAGUUUAAAGAUCUUUGCCUGGUUAUGGUCUAAAGAUAUUUGCUUUGAUUAAUAUAUGGUGUAACUCAUUAAUUAAAUGCAAAUUGAAAUAAGAUAAACCUGUCCCCAUAUCAUUUCUGGUAGACAAUAAUGUGCCAGUUUUCUCUCCAAUAAAUUAGAUGAGGCAAGCUUUCUGUUACUAAAUAAUAGCAAUAUGGGACAGGAGAAAAAAAUUUACCAUGAGGUGCUUUGGAAUUAUUCACAUGAAGAACUUUUUAUUUCUUACUUUCUUUUUCACUAAAAUAGUACUUUUUCUCAUUUUCAACCAAUUUUUAAAUAUGAGGUGUUUACAUUGCUUACUGUUCAAAUUAGCAUUGCAUACUUUCAGGCACAGACA